rnacentral:rRNA from 1 species
UACGGAGGGUGCAAGCGUUCUCCGGAUUCACUGGGUUUAAAGGGUGCGUAGGUGGGCAGGUAAGUCAGUGGUGAAAUCUCCGGGCUUAACUCGGAAACUGCCAUUGAUACUAUCUGUCUUGAAUACCGUGGAGGUUAGCGGAAUAUGUCAUGUAGCGGUGAAAUGCUUAGAUAUGACAUAGAACACCAAUUGCGAAGGCAGCUGGCUACACGAAUAUUGACACUGAUGCACGAAAGCGUGGGGAUCAAACAGG